rnacentral:tRNA from 1 species
GGAGAUAUAGCUCAGUUGGUAGAGUGCUUGCCUCACAUGCAUAAGGCCCUGGGUUCAAUCCCCAGCAUUACUG